UACGUAGGGGGCAAGCGUUGUUCGGAAUUACUGGGCGUAAAGGGCGCGUAGGCGGCACGGCAAGUCAGGAGUGAAAGCCCUGGGCUCAACCCGGGAACUGCUUUUGAAACUGCCGAGCUAGAGUGCGGAAGGGGCAACUGGAAUUCCCAGUGUAGCGGUGAAAUGCGUAGAUAUUGGGAAGAACACCUGAGGCGAAGGCGGGUUGCUGGGCCGACACUGACGCUGAGGCGCGAAAGCGUGGGGAACAAACAGG
rnacentral:rRNA from 1 species